CCUACGGGUGGCUGCAGUGGGGAAUAUUGCACAAUGGGGGAAACCCUGAUGCAGCGACGCCGCGUGAGUGAAGAAGUAAUUCGUUAUGUAAAGCUCUAUCAGAAGGGAAGAAAAUGACGGUACCUGAGAAAGAAGCCCCGGCUAACUACGUGCCAGCAGCCGCGGGAAUACGUAUGGUGAAAGCGUGAGCCGGAUUUACUGGGGGUAAAGGGAGCGCUGGCGGCACGGCAAGACUGAUGUGAAAGCCCGCGGCUCAACCGCGGGACCGCAUUGGGAACUACCGGGCUGGAGUGCCGGAGAGGUAGGCGGAAUUCCUAGUGUAGCGGUGAAAUGCGUAGAUAUUAGGAGGAACACCAGUGGCGAAGGCGGCCUACUGGACGGUGACUGACGCUGAGGCUCGAAAGCGUGGGGAGCAAACAGGAUUAGAUACCCUUGUAGUC
rnacentral:rRNA from 1 species